rnacentral:rRNA from 1 species
GACGAACGCUGGCGGCGUGGAUUAGGCAUGCAAGUCGAACGGUAGGAUCCUUUCGGGGAUCUGAGAGUGGCGAACGGGUGAGUAACACGUAGGUGAUCUACCCUCAAGACGGGGACAACCCAGGGAAACUUGGGCUAAUACCGGAUGUGAGCUAUCGCGAGAUAGUUUGAAAGGUGGCUUCGGCUGCCGCUUGAGGAUGAGCCUGCGUCCUAUUAGCUAGUUGGUGAGGUAACGGCUCACCGAGGCAAUGAUAGGUAGGCGGCCUUAACGGGUGGUCGCCCACACUGGGAUUGAGAUACGGCCCAGACUCCUACGGGAGGCAGCAGUCGAGAAUAGUCUACAAUGGUCGGAAGACUGAUAGUGCGACGCCGCGUGAACGAAGAAGCCCUUCGGGUGUAAAGUUCUUUUAUAUGUGAGCAGUGCUUUCUAUGUGAACAGCAUGGGGAGAGAGAUAUUAGCAUAUGAAUAAGCAACGGCUAACUCCGUGCC